UUUUUGGUAGCUCAGUGGUUAAGGCAUUGGGCGUCUGUUCAGAAGGUCAUGAGUUCAAAUCCCAUCACCACCAAG